GGAUAUCAAUUGAUCUAAGUAGGUCUUUGUUGGCUCAAGCACCAACCUACAUCCUAUUCCCUAGGUACAUUGCCAAACUAUUAUGGACGACCAAAGGGAUGGCAAAUUCCUAGCUAACCAUAGAUCGGACUCCUCCAAGCAGUUUACUUGGCACAAAGAGCAUCUGAAAGAAGAAAAGUAUUUCAUUUCACAAGAAAGAAGAUUAUAGG
rnacentral:lncRNA from 1 species